rnacentral:lncRNA from 10 species
AUAAUGGCAAAUGCUAUGUGAAGAUGAAUAACAUCAGGUGUUUGGGUUGUUUCCAGGUCUGGCUGUUAUGAUUAAUGCUCCAUGGACAUUUUUGAACAUGUCGUUGCAACUCUCAGAAAGAAGAGUCUAUGUCCCUGUACACAGAAUCUGGCUUGACUUUGCGACUUGCUUUCACCAAUCAAAUGCAGAAGAAGUGAAGUCUGGUCCUCAGGAGGUUUUGUACUCCUCUGCUGACUCUCCUGGGAUGCUAAAAACGCCAUGAGUCCUAGUUACGACUAACUUACAUGGCCUAGUCACCUCCAUUGUCCAAGCCAAUAGGUACCCAGCCAUCACACCUAGAGUGAGGCCAUUCCAAUCUCCAGCUGAUCUGCUGUGGAUGAGCAUGGCCAAGAUCAACUGAGCUUGGCUCAGAUGAGCAAGACUCCCUGGAUAACCUACAAUCUUGUGGAGAAAUGGAGGCACUCAUGGAUCAAGCAUUUUCCCAGGGCCACAUAGUUAAUGUAGCACUUAGAAGACUGGGUAUCUUUUUCAAUGCCACAUAGUAGCACAGCUAGGAGUUGAACCAGGCAGUCUGGUGCUACAGGCCAUACAUUUUGACAUGUGUUUUGUUGCCUCUUGACAAAGUCCAUGGACUGUGAUCCUGGGACCAACAGCAUCAGUAUCAACUGGGAACUUCUUAGAAAUUCAAAUUCUUGGGGCUAUUCCCCAAAUUUCUGAGUCAGAAGCUCUGGGGAUAGGGCCCAGCAAGCUAUGUGUUAACAGACUUUUUAGAUCAGGGGUUCCCCCCAACUCCCAGGCCAAGAACCAGUACCAGUCUGUGGCCUGUUAGGAACCAGGCUGCACAGCAGGAGGUGAGGGCAGGUGAGCAUUACUGCCUGAGCCCUGCCUCCUCCUAUCAGAUCAGUGGUGUCAUGGCAUUAGAUUCUCACAGGAUCAAGAACCAUAUUGUGAACUGCACACACAAGGGAUAUAGGCUGCAUGCUCCUUAUAAGCAUCUAAUGCCUGAUGACCUGAGCUAGAACAAUUUCAUCCUGAAACCACCUCCCCCUUCC